rnacentral:rRNA from 1 species
ACAGGCCCUAUAUAAAUAAAAAGCUACUCAAAAGAAGGGGAGGCAAGUCGUAACAUGGUAAGUGUACCGGAAGGUGCACUUGGAAUAUACCAGAGUAUA